rnacentral:hammerhead_ribozyme from 1 species
AUCCAGCUGGCGAGUCCCAAACAGGACGAAAUGCGCGUCCUGGAU